rnacentral:rRNA from 1 species
CUGCUGCCUUCCGUAGGAGUUUGGGCCGUGUCUCAGUCCCAAUGUGGCCGUUCACCCUCUCAGGCCGGCUACUGAUCGUCGCCUUGGUAGGCCGUUACCCCACCAACCAGCUAAUCAGACGCAGGCUCAUCUUAUACUACCGGAGUUUUUCACACAGAAACAUGCGUCCCCGUGCGCUUAUGCGGUAUUAGCAGUCAUUUCUAACUGUUAUCCCCCUGUAUAAGGCAGAUUACCCACGUGUUACUCACCCGUCCGCCG